rnacentral:rRNA from 1 species
UACGUAGGGAGCAAGCGUUGUCCGGAAUCAUUGGGCGUAAAGCGCGCGUAGGUGGCCCCGUAAGUCCGCUGUGAAAGUCAAAGGCUCAACCGUUUGAAAGCCGGUGGAUACUGUGGGGCUAGAGUACGGAAGAGGCGAGUGGAAUUCCUGGUGUAGCGGUGGAAUGCGCAGAUAUCAGGAGGAACACCAAUAGCGAAGGCAGCUCGCUGGGACGUUACUGACACUGAGGCGCGAAAGCGUGGGGAGCGAACAGG